UGCAACUAUACCCGUUUUUUGUGUUAAUGGAGCUUGGAGGAGAUUAUAAUUCUCGUAUAGUAUUUAAGCUCCUCCAAGCUCUUGGAGGAGAUUAAACCCUUGUAUAGUUAAAAAAUUGGUAUUCUGGAGCUUGAACUGAUCUGGAAUAUAGAUACGCCCAGACUCCUAUGGGAGGCAGCAGUGGGGAAUUUUCUGCAAUGGGAAAAAGCCUAGCGGAGCAAUGUCGCGUGAAGGCAGAAGGCCCACAGGUCAUGACCUUCUUUUCUCAAAGAAGAAACAAUGACGGUAUCUGAGGAAUAAGCAUCAGCCAAAUCGGUGCCAACAACUGCAAUAAAACAGAGGAUGCAAGUGUUAUCUAGAAUGAUUGGGUGUAAAGCAUCUGUAGGUGACUUUUCAAGUUCAUCGUCAAAUCCCAGGGCUCAACCCUAGAUAGGCGGUGGAAACUACCAAGUUGGAAUAUGGUAGGGGCAGAGGGAAUUUUCGGUGGAGCGGUGAAAUGCAUUGAGAUCAGAAAGAACACCAAUGAGGAAAUCACUUUGUUGGGUCGACACUAACACUGAGAGAUGAAAUCUAGGGGAGAAAAUGGGAUUAGAUACCCCAGUAGUCCUAGCCAUAAACAAUGGAUACUAAGUGUUGUGUGUAUCGACCCGCAUAGUGUUUUAGCUAAUGUGUUAAGUAUCCUGCCUGGGGAGUACAUUCGCAAGAAUGAAACUCAAAGGAAUUGAUGGGGGCCUGCACAAGCGAUGGAGCAUGUGGUUCAAUUCGAUGCAAAGCGAAGAACCUUACCAGGGCUUGGCAUGUCGUGAAUCCUCCCAAAAGAGAGGAGUGCCUUUGGGAACGCAGACACAGGUGGUGCAUGGAUGUCAUCAGCUCAUGUCGUAAGGUGUUGGGUUAAUUCCUGCAACAAGCGCAACCCUCGUGUUUAGUUGCUAGCAUUGAGUUUGGAACCCUGAACAGACUGUUGGUGAUAAGUCAGAGGAAGGUGAGGAUGACGUCAAGUCAUCAUGCCCCUUAUGCCCUAGGCAACACGUGUGAUACAAUGACCGGGAAAAAGGGUCUCAACCUCGCAAGGGCAAGCUAAGCUCAAAAACCUGGCCUCAGUUCAGAUUGUAGGCUGCAAAUCGCCUGCAUGAAGUCAUAAUUGCUAGUAAUUGUCGGUUAGCCAUACAACAGUGAAUCUGUUACUGGUCCUUGUACACACCGCCCGUCACAUUAUGGGAGUUGGUCAUGCCCUAAUUCAUUACCUUGACUGCAAGGAGGGGGAUUUCGAAGGCUGGGCUAGUGACUGGAGUGAAGUCGUAACAAGGUAGUUGUACUAGAAGGUGGGGUUGGAUCACCUCCUUU
rfam:Picea glauca, whole genome shotgun sequence.